GAACUCCAGGGCGGCGAGAACCGCGGCGAGGCGCAGCCAAAGGCAGCCGAGGCGAGGCAGCAUGGUGGGAGCCGCUCACCUCUCCCCUCGCAGCGAGCGACCAAGCGAGUACAACCCUCCCCAGCCGCAGCGAAAGGGGUGGAGGAUAGAUCUGGAUGGCUGAGCAUUUGGUGGGCAGCAGUGGAGGACGUACAAACCAAAGUUACACAGGGAGACCUUGGCAGAUGGUUGGAACAAAACAUGCUCGUCACAAACACUCUCACACGGCAGAUCAAAUCGACAGGGAUACCUUGCAGUCUUAAGGCUCUGCAGUCUUAAAGGAGCUACACCAACGUUGACACCCAGAUGAAUAAAAUUGUCUUUUCAAUCCAUCUGGGAUUCUGAGAUUGUAUCUCACUUUAACACCAGUGGUCACAAACAAAAUUGGACUGCCCGGUAUCCUGGGGGUGUUACAGAGACCGACCACACCAACUGUCCAAGACGUGGAUGCCUCAGGCAUUUGCAUUGCACAGAGGGUCAGCAUUUGUUUCCCUCCUCCCCAGAGCGUCUGAGCCUUCACAUUUGGUAUUGACUGGAUAUUAUGUUUCAUUCCCCAGUCACUGACUCCUUCCCUCCAACUGGACAUUGUCCAAAACCAAGCCACCAGAGAUGAGCUACAGACUGUAUCUGCCAUUGGAAGCAGUCUCACCUUACUCUGUCAAAUCCCUUCAUACUUUUGAACACAAUGAUUAAAUCUCCCUUUAACCCUUUCUUCCAUAAAAAGAACAACCCCAGCUUCACUUGACCCCAGUCACGUCACAUAGGUGGAGCUUAGAAGCAGCUCACGUUGAAGGCUUGGGGUUUGGUUGACAACUCUCAUUUGCCAUUGUGGUAGCUCUCCCACUUCUCCACUCCUGUAACUUAGCUCACUCAAACUGAGCUCAUCGUUGACACUGACACAUUCAAAUCUCUGCGCAAAAGAUCCCUUCUACAAGGCCAGAAUCAGUCAGGAGGAGUGAACUUCCAACACUUCACCCAGUUCCAGGUCAGGGACAGCACAGGAUAGAUACAGAGUGAAGCUCCCUCUACACCGUCCCAUCACACACUCCCAGGGCAGGGACAACACGGGUUAGAUACAGAGUGAAGCUCCCUCUACACUGUCCCAUCACACACUCCCAGGGCAGGGACAUCUGGGGUUAGAUACAGAGUAAAGCUCCCUCUACACUGUCCCGUCACACACUCCCAGGGCAGGGACAACACGGGUUAGAUACAGAGUAAAGCUCCCUCUACACCGUCCCAUCACACACUCCCAGGGCAGGGACAUCUGGGGUUAGAUACAGAGUAAAGCUCCCUCUACACUGUCCCGUCACACACUCCCAGGGCAGGGACAACACGGGUUAGAUACAGAGUGAAGCUCCCUCUACACUGUCCCAUCACACACUCCCAGGGCAAGGACAACACGGGUUAGAUACAGAGUGAAGCUCCCUCUACACCGUCCCAUCACACACUCCCAGGGCAAGGACAACACGGGUUAGAUACAGAGUGAAGCUCCCUCUACACUGUCCCAUCACACACUCCCAGGGCAGGGACAACACGGGUUAGAUACAGAGUAAAGCUCCCUCAGCAGCUGUACGCCAAUGUAAAUUCUUGCAGAAAUUGAUUAUCUGGUUAACAACAGGACCCCUAGAGAGAAGGCUGUGUAACAUCACUGGAGUAGCAGACCCCAAAUAAAGCCUGGGCUUUUCUCGCAGAGCUCUGCCGCAGACAGAAAGAGUAUUACGAAGCAGUCAAUUGGUUAAUAUUAGUAAACAAGCCAAAUCAAUACUUUGGAGGUUUUGCACCCUCAAGGUAUUGAUUUGUCUGUCGCAAUGCAGGCUAACCCAUAGAUCCCAAAAAUAAGACACAAACCUGAGAUGUUAAAACUGUCAGAAUUGUUGGAAAGUAAAUCUGAGACACCGUCAACCUUACGGUGUACGGUGGAGACCAUUCUGACUGGUUGCAUCACUGCCUGGUACGGAGGCUCCAAUGUGCAGGAUCGCAAGAGGCCGCAGGGGGUUGUAUCAGCCAGUUCCAUCACGGGCACGACCCUCCCCACCAUCAAGGACAUUUUCAAGAGCCAUUGCCUCAAGAAGGCGGCAUCCGUCACUAAGGACCCUCACCACCCAGGACAUGCCCUCUUCACGUUACAACCAUCGGGGAGGAGGUACAGGAGCCUGAAGACCCACACUCAACAAUUCAGGAAUAGCU